CGCUGCACCUGAGCCUCGCUGCGACCACUUCAAACCAGCUGCCUUCUUUACAACAGGAUGCAUGCAGCAGCAGCAGCAGCUCAGCUCGCGCUGCUCGUGUUUGUUACACUUGUUGUUCUUGCCAGAUUGUUCUCUCAAGGAGACUUGGCGUGAACAUCCUUCUCAAGUCCAUCCUUGGCUGUCCUAGUAUUGAGAAACAGCCUCCGAGUCCAAAUGACCAAGGUCGAACACUGCUGCUUCAGAGGAUGCUCGCCAACGCAGAGUGUCCAGUGAGAGGGCGGUCAAAAUGGAAAUAAAACAUGACUUUCCACCACAUUCCCCAUAUCAGCACCCAGGAAGUAAUUGUUAACUAUAGGAAUUACAGGUACAUUCACAUGCAGUUAUGUGUGUAACAUAAAAUACAAAUAUUGUACAGUUAUUAUUUUCUUGCAACCUUUUUUUAAAUCUUUAUUCAUUCAGGGAAGUUUCACUGAAAGGAAACCUCUUUUGCAGGAACGCCCUGAUCAUAUUCGCACAUUCACACCUGGAAGCUGCCCAGUACAACCACAGCCAGAGCCUCUGAACAGCUCCACCGGAGCAGUUGGAGUUAAGGGCCUUGCUCAAGGGCAUCCUCAGCUUCUUCACUUUCCCCAAUCAGAUUUAUUAAAGUAUCAAAAGUAAAAGGAUUCGGUCUGCAGAAAAAUGGCAUCUGUAACUGAUAGGCUACAUUACAUAUUUUAUUAUUAAUAUUAAUGCAUCAAUGCCUAAGUAGUAGUAGUAGUAUCAGCAGUAACUAGACACUGCUUUUUAAGGGAUUUUGACUUGUGUUUUAUAAGCUUAUCAUAUAUCCUUUUAUAUAAAUUCUUAAUCUAGAAUGUAACUCCAGCUGUCAGAUAAACAUAGCGGAGCACAUGCAGAAUAUAUGAUAUCCCAGCCGAGCCUGUCAUCCACUUGUAUAAUUUAAGAGGGAACUCCUUAAAAGUGUUUCGCUGAAAAGAGAAA